rnacentral:tRNA from 1 species
GGAGGUGUAGCUCAGCUGGUCAGAGCGCCUGCUUCACACGCAGGAGGUCAACGGUUCGAGCCCGUUCACGUCCACCA